rnacentral:rRNA from 1 species
GAUGAACGCUGGCGGCGUGCUUAACACAUGCAAGUCGAACGGAAAGGCCCAAGCUUGCUUGGGUACUCGAGUGGCGAACGGGUGAGUAACACGUGGGUGAUCUGCCCUGCACUUCGGGAUAAGCCUGGGAAACUGGGUCUAAUACCGGAUAGGACCACAUUUUGGAUGGUGUGGUGGAAAGUUUUUCGGUGUGGGAUGAGCUCGCGGCCUAUCAGCUUGUUGGUGGGGUAAUGGCCUACCAAGGCGUCGACGGGUAGCCGGCCUGAGAGGGUGUACGGCCACAUUGGGACUGAGAUACGGCCCAGACUCCUACGGGAGGCAGCAGUGGGGAAUAUUGCACAUUGGGCGCAAGCCUGAUGCAGCGACGCCGCGUGGGGGAUGACGGCCUUCGGGUUGUAAACUCCUUUCGCUAGGGACGAAGCGUUUUUGUGACGGUACCUGGAGAAGAAGCACCGGCUAACUACGUG